UACGGAGGAUGCAAGCGUUAUCCGGAUUUAUUGGGUUUAAAGGGUGCGUAGGCGGACUGUCAAGUCAGCGGUAAAAUUGAGAGGCUCAACCUCUUCCCGCCGUUGAAACUGGUGGUCUUGAGUGGAUGAGAAGUACGCGGAAUGCGUGGUGUAGCGGUGAAAUGCAUAGAUAUCACGCAGAACUCCGAUUGCGAAGGCAGCGUACCGGCAUCCAACUGACGCUGAGGCACGAAAGCGUGGGGAUCAAACAGG
rnacentral:rRNA from 1 species